CCCCCAGNNNNNNNNUAGUNNNNNNNNCCUUGAGUUGAUAUGGCUCAGACGAACGCUGGCGGCGUGCCUAACACAUGCAAGUCGAGCGCGAACGGAGCAAUCCUAGUAGAGCGGCGCACGGGUGCGUAACACGUGGGUAAUCUUCCUGGAAGUCUGGGACAACCUUCCGAAAGGUUGGCUAAUACCAGAUAAGCCCACAGGAUCUUCGGAUCUCGUGGGAAAAGGUGGCCUCUGUUUACAUGCUAUCUCUUCCAGAUGAGCCCGCGGCCCAUCAGCUAGUUGGCGGGGUAAUGGCCCACCAAGGCAACGACGGGUAGCUGGUCUGAGAGGACGAUCAGCCACACUGGAACUGAGACACGGUCCAGACUCCUACGGGAGGCAGCAGUGGGGAAUUUUGCGCAAUGGGCGAAAGCCUGACGCAGCAACGCCGCGUGUGUGAUGAAGGUCUUCGGAUUGUAAAGCACUUUCGACCGGGACGAAACCGCAUUGGCUAACAUCCAAUGCUCUGACGGUACCGGGAGAAGAAGCACCGGCUAACUCUGUGCCAGCAGCCGCGGUAAUACAGAGGGUGCAAGCGUUGUUCGGAAUUAUUGGGCGUAAAGCGCGUGUAGGCGGCUUUGCAAGUCGGGUGUGAAAGCCCUCAGCUCAACUGAGGAAGUGCGCCCGAAACUGCAGAGCUUGAGUACCGGAGAGGAUGGUGGAAUUCCCCCAGUAGAGGUGAAAUUCGUAGAUAUGGGGAAGAACACCAGUGGCGAAAGCGACCAUCUGGACNGAUACUGACC
rnacentral:rRNA from 1 species